rnacentral:tRNA from 1 species
GGCUCCGUGGCGCAAUGGAUAGCGCAUUGGACUUCUAGGUUAAAAGCAUAGCAAUUCAAAGGUUGUGGGUUCGAGUCCCACCGGAGUCG